GACGGGAGGAAGGCUGUUUACCAGGCUGCCUGGAGGAAGGCCCAGUUGUAUGCAGAUUGGCGGAAGGAGCAGUUCCAGACCUGGUCUGUCACUCUGGAUCCACGUUCGGCCCAUCCCAACCUGUCCCUCUCUUAUAAAAACAUGCGUCUGACCUGGAAGGCCACCUGUGACAAACCGGACAAUGACAGAUACAGUGUGUUGGGUCUUAAGGGCAUCACUUCAGGGCGAUGUUACUGGGAGGUGGUAGGCAGAGGUAGAUGCAUAACUGAAUGUGCUGUGGGGGUCUGUAGGGAAGAUGUCGAUAGGAAAGGCUGGUUUAGACAGUGCCCAGAAGAGGGGUUCUGGGUUGUGGAAUGGCAUGCAGGUAAGUGUUUCGCCUGUACUACUCCUCCGACAAUGCUAACCCUUAGGAAGUUUCCCUUCAAGGUGGGAAUUUUUCUGGACUACGAUGGUGGCGAUAUCUCUUUUUACAACAUGAGUGAUAUGUCCCACAUUUUCUCCUUCUCUGAGGCUUCCUUCUCUGGGACCCUCUUUCCAUAUUUCAUGUUAAAGUCAAGAUACAUGUCCCUGACCAUCCGCUCCAUGGUAGGUGGGCCCAAGGGGCUCCCUGUGUCCCUUAACAAAUCUCCUUCUUCUUUGAAUGAGCUACUGAGCCCUUCAGGGGAGGGGUUGAGCUCUGGCUCUGGUGGGGAUGGUGUUCUCCCAGGGCCUGAAUCUCCAUUACUCCCCCACAACUCCAAGGCUGUGCCUCCAUAGGGACACAUCACUGUCCCUGUUCCCUCACUAUGCUUUUCUUGGAGCUACAGACUCCCCGAAGUGAAAGACUCUGAGGUGAGUGCUGGAAGACACUGGGAGUCAUGCAUUUGUGCUUUUGGCUGCAGACUGCUGGGGGACUAUGUGGCUCUGAGAACUGCCAGUUCAUGUUUUGUGCUUCUAUAGCUAAAGGAAAAAAAUACGACUUGUUUGAGCUGGUUGAGUGUAGGUAGAAUUUGGCUAUGGGAAGUCAUUUUACUUUGGUGAUGAAAAAUACUUUGUGAACAUUUUAUACUGUUUGUAUAUGAAAGGACAGGGGCUGAAUCCCUCUGCAGUAUAAAGUUUGCUUUAUCCAACUUGAUUCUGUUUAGAGUGUAGGGCCCUAGCUCUACUUUGGAGGGAACCUAGGCAAUCUGAUCAGAAAAUGUGCAUAUUCAAAAUUUUCCAGGGAUAUGGUUGGUUGGCGGACUUCUAAGAUGGGAGUUGUCUAAUAUUCACUUCAUAUACUUAUUCUUGGAUGGCUGAAACACACCUAUUUUCUCAAAUCUGCUGUAUAUUUCUGUUACCCAUGAAAAUACUGUGUUGCGUUAAUUCAGGAAAUUAAGAAGAAGGAUCUGGUUCCUCUUUUGGUCAACACUAGGUGGAAAGAAGAGAAAUACUAGCCAAAUUAAGAUGUAAAUGGACAGGAGAAUUUUCCGGAGCAGGCAAUUGCAGAGAGCCUUGGCAUGAGCAUUGUCUCAGUUAUCAGUGUAUUGCCUCUUAGUACUUCCAAGUCCAAUGCUAGAGGUAAAUGGAAAAGCACAGCAACCAAAAAGGGACAGGACUAUUGAGUACUGAGACCCUUCAAGAAUGAAGGUGUAUUCAUUCCACCAGGUACUCUGACCAGCUGAGGUUCUGAAUGAGGGUGGGGGAAACAAGGAAUGAGAAGUAGAAGUCAUAGAUAUCAACUCUAAUUUUGUGGCCAGUUGGAGAAACAAGGAGUAUAACAGCUUUGCAUAAUUUAAUUUGGGUUCUCAUGUGUACCUGUUUAUUUGUAUAUAUAAACCAUAUUUUCUUCUCUCCCCUUAUUAUUUUAUGUACAAGUUGUUGGAGGUUACAUUUAUUGUACAGAAUAUGAUAACAGAAUAUCCAAUGAACUGUGACUGAUUUUAAGGAGUAAAUAGUGGUGGUGGAUAUAAUGACGGGAACUUUUUAUGAAAAAAAGUUUUUUGUUUUGAUAUCCUUUUUCGUAAGGAUAGGUGGGAAAAUAGAGUAGUUUUGUUGCGUGGAAGUUCAAAUGUGUGUAAAAUGAUGUAUAUGAGAGCUGAGUAACCAAAGUGCCUAUUACCAUUUUAUUGCGUCUCAGUUCCAAAUUCACACUGUCUUUGCCCUGCCUUGUGAUACUGCAGCUGGACCUUGUAAACAUUUCUUCUUUGCCACUGGGCACAAUAUUAGACACUUAUCAGGACACUGGAGAUACACUGCAAAAUAUAGCAGAGAAGAAACUUCUCUUCCUGGUUCUGGGCUUUUCUUCUUUAUCCUAUAGUGUGGAGGCCCAGUUUUGCUCACCUUUUGGUGAAUUUGUCUGCAAUUGCUUCUUGAUGCUUUCCAGGGAGUCUUACUAGCACCCAGAGGGUAGCUUCCCAGGGAGUGUCACCAGUACCCCAAUAGGAGGUUUUUGGCACCAGCCUUGGCCUGUGGCAUGUUAGCAAACUUCAUCAUCCAUUGGGCCCCUAUUCCUCUUUUUCCAAUGAGCUCUGGAUGUCAGUGUUGUCAGGGGGCCUGCUCCCAAAUUUCUUCCUUUCAUGGGUACUCUGUCUCAGCCCUAGAGGUAGUGGCUGUUUCCUAUAUCUGCUAUUUCUGUAUUCUUUAGAACUUUCUUUUACCUCUUUCAGUAGUUAAGAACAUUUUCCUAUUUAAUAAUUUUUUAACUCGUUUCUUGUUUAGUAGUCUGUUGUGAAACUUCCACAUAUUUUAUAUAUUCCAAUUUUCUUUCUCUUACAAAGUUCUAGUUUCAUUGCACUGUGGUCAGAAAAGAUACGUUGUAUGAUUUCAAUCUUUUUAAAUUUACUGAGACUUGCUUUGUGCCCUAAGAUAUGGUCUCUUCUGGAGAAUGGUCUAUAUGCACUAGAGAAGAAUAUAUAUUGUGCUGUUAGUCAAUAAUUUUUUACAUUAAAAUUUUCUCUCUUCAAAAGACUGAUACAGUUUCUGUCUCCUUACUGGACCCUGAACUGAUAUAAGCCUGUAAACCAUAAUGUUGCUUAGAGAAUGGCACAGAAUUUCUUACAGUAUGUGGGAAAAGGUACUUGAGACACUUAAAAAUUUAUUAAAAAGUUUCACUCCCACAAUAAUGUCAUGGGCAAUAUAUUUAUCGGGGUCUUUGUUGAGUUUUAAGUAUGCUCUAUAUGCUCUAUGUGUUAAUAUAAGGAGCUCUCGUGGCACAAUGGUUAAGUGCUUGGCUGCUAACUGAAAGUUCAGUGGUUUGAAUCCAGCAGCAACUCUGUGGUAGAAAAGACCUGGCAAUCUUCUCCUGUAAACAUUACAGCCUAGGAAACCCU